rnacentral:rRNA from 1 species
AGUGGCGGACGGGUGAGUAACGCGUGGGUAACCUGCCUCAUACAGGGGGAUAACAGUUAGAAAUGACUGCUAAUACCGCAUAAGACCACAGCACCGCAUGGUGCAGGGGUAAAAACUCCGGUGGUAUGAGAUGGACCCGCGUCUGAUUAGGUAGUUGGUGGGGUAACGGCCUACCAAGCCGACGAUCAGUAGCCGACCUGAGAGGGUGACCGGCCACAUUGGACUGAGACACGGCCCAA